AACCUGUUACCCACCUUACUCACUACUCUUGGCUUCUCAUGACCUCAUAUUUGUUUCCGUAAUCAGAAUAAUAGGAAACAAUUCUAAACCAGGAGUUCUAUAAACGGGUUCAGCUGUGGGAGUAAAAUAGGAGUAAUUUCAUAGCUUCUCCGUAUAAUUGCACUGUAUCUGUAAGAGUAGAAGACGUCAAUCUUAAAAGAUUUGAGGAGGUUAUUUCCACACAUUAAAAGUCUUGCAUCUUACCAGACAAACAAUCUGAGAUUAACCAUCAGUAGUUAAGAUUGAGUGACUGGACAAUAGCGAUAACUGCCAGUGAGAUAAUAACUGAACUUUCUUGGCAUGCUUCUCAUACCAGCUUUCUGAAGUGGGUCAACCAAAACCGCAUGGCGUACUACUCUCUGAAGCCUCUACUACCCUGCUCCUCCGUGUUGACAUGUGGUCAGGCAAGCCAGGACUUACUCACAUCAGCUACAUCAGUUACUGGGAUGGAGAAAAUUGAAGCCUAGAAAGAUCAAGAAACUUUCUCCAGGCCAUAAAUAGAGGAAUCAGGAUUCAAAUCAGAUAGACCCCAGGGCUUGUUCUCUUCAACACCACAUUACCCUACAUUAUUAUUCAAUUAUUAAAUAAAACCUUGCAUUAGUGGCAUUUCCAAAUGCAUAACAAAAAAAUAAAAAAAAG
rnacentral:lncRNA from 1 species